UCCGGCUUGUCACCGGCAGUUUCCUCAGAGUGCCCGGCCCUACCCGAUGGCAACUGAGGAUGAGGGUUGCGCUCGUUGCGGGACUUAACCCAACAUCUCACGACACGAGCUGACGACGGCCAUGCAGCACCUGUGCGGACGCCGGCCGAACCGAAGGACCCGAUCUCUCAGGCCCAUACGUCCCAUGUCAAGGGCUGGUAAGGUUCUUCGCGUUGCGUCGAACUAAACCACAUGCUCCACCGCUUGUGCGGGCCCCCGUCAAUUCCUUUGAGUUUUAACCUUGCGGCCGUACUCCCCAGGCGGAAUGCUUCAUGCGUUAGCGGCGACACCGAAGCCCUACGGGCCCCAACGUCUAGCAUUCAUCGUUUACGGCGUGGACUAC
rnacentral:misc_RNA from 1 species